AACAACUCACCUGCCGAAUGAAUUAGCCCUGAAAAUGGAUGGCGCUGAAGCGGGUAGCCGACACUACGCCGUCUGAAAUAUAUAUAUAUAUUUUUUUCAGAUGAGUAGGAGGACGUGGCGGUUGUAUAGAAGCGUGUGCGCGAGCAUGCGUGGAACGGCCGCUAGUGCAGAUCUUGGUGGUAGUAGCAAAUAUUCAAAUGAGAACCUUGAAGGGCGAAGCGGGGAAGGGUUCCACGCGAACAUUGAUUGGGCGUGGGUGAGUCGUUCCUGAGCCGUCUGGCAAUGGCUAGGCACCGGCGAAAGGGAAGCAGGUUGAUAUUCCUGCACACGGAUGUAGAUGCGGUGACGCACGCUGUGGCGGUGACGUUGUCGGGACGCACUGGGCAGAGAUUUCUUUUCUGUUUGACAGAUCCAGGCGCACGCUGUGGAAUCCGCUUGUCGGGAGAAACAGGUGUGUUGUGGCAGAGCGCCGGGUAUUUUCUGGCGUCCAGUUUGCGACCGGCGACCCUUGAAAAACCGUCCGCGGAAAAAAAGAUUCUACGCCGUAACGUACCCAUAACCGCAUCAGGUCCCCAAGGUGAACAGCCUCUGUCCGAUAUGAAAAAU
rnacentral:rRNA from 1 species